GGGGGCAACCCUGGUGGCGAGUGGCGAACGGGCGAUUAAUGCAUCGGAACGUGCCCAGUAGUGGGGGAUAACACAUCGAAAGAUGUGCUAAUACCGCAUACGCACUACGGUGGAAAGCGGGGGAUCGUAAGACCUCGCGCUAUUGGAGCGGCCGAUGUCCGAUUAGCUAGUUGGUGGGGUAAUGGCCUACCAAGGCAACGAUCGGUAGCUGGUCUGAGAGGAUGAUCAGCCACACUGGGACUGAGACACGGCCCAGACUCCUACGGGAGGCAGCAGUGGGGAAUUUUGGACAAUGGGCGCAAGCCUGAUCCAGCCAUGCCGCGUGAGUGAAGAAGGCCUUCGGGUUGUAAAGCUCUUUCGGCCGGAACGAAAUCGUCCGGGCUAAUACCCCGGAUGGAUGACGGUACCGGAAGAAGAAGCACCGGCUAACUACGUGCCAGCAGCCGCGGUAAUACGUAGGGUGCAGGCGUUAAUCGGAAUUACUGGGCGUAAAGCGUGCGCAGGCGGCUUCUCAAGUCAGAUGUGAAAUCCCCGGGCUUAACCUGGGAACUGCGUUUGAAACUGGGGAGCUAGAGUGUGGCAGAGGGGGGUGGAAUUCCACGUGUAGCAGUGAAAUGCGUAGAUAUGUGGAGGAACACCGAUGGCGAAGGCAGCCCCUGGGCCUGCACUGACGCUCAUGCACGA
rnacentral:rRNA from 1 species